rnacentral:rRNA from 1 species
UGGGGAAUAUUGCACAAUGGGCGCAAGCCUGAUGCAGCCAUGCCGCGUGUAUGAAGAAGGCCUUCGGGUUGUAAAGUACUUUCAGCGGGGAGGAAGGGAGUAAAGUUAAUACCUUUGCUCAUUGACGUUACCCGCAGAAGAAGCACCGGCUAACUCCGUGCCAGCAGCCGCGGUAAUACGGAGGGGGCAAGCGUUAAUCGGAAUUACUGGGCGUAAAGCGCACGCAGGCGGUUUGUUAAGUCAGAUGUGAAAUCCCCGGGCUCAACCUGGGAACUGCAUCUGAUACUGGCAAGCUUGAGUCUCGUAGAGGGGGGUAGAAUUCCAGGUGUAGCGGUGAAAUGCGUAGAGAUCUGGAGGAAUACCGGUGGCGAAGGCGGCCCCCUGGACGAAGACUGACGCUCAGGUGCGAAAGCGUGGGGAGCAAACA